rnacentral:misc_RNA from 1 species
GUGAGGACCAUUUCUGGGAUUCAGGCCCUUCGAAGUGCAUACGAUAUAUCUUCCAACAGUAAUUCCAAAUGGGAGAAUCUGUUGGUAUUGUUUCUUAUGGCAAUUGCAUAUCGUAUACUAGUGCUUCUUGUACUGCAUUUUCGUGUUGGAAAGAAUGAAUCAGUACUUAAGUUUUGCCGGUGUAAUCAGGAUACAAACAAUCCAAGAUGAAUGGAAUUUGCCCUGCCAGUCAUAUUUAUGUUCUGGCCUCUUGUUUCAGUUAGAAACUAAUGAUGAAAUAUAGAAAUGCAG